GAUAAGGGGGAAGUGACGGGCAGUGCUAAGAGGAAGUGGUUUGCAAUUUUCAACGGGGUGGUCAGAGAAGCCCUCAUUAAGAAGCUGACAUGGGAGCAAAGAUUCAAGGGAAGGGAGGGAAGGAGCCAUUCUUAUUCUUGGAGGAAAAAAAUCUUCCAAGCGAAGGGAGCAGCCCGUGCAAAGUCCCUGUGGCAGGAGCAUACAAGGUGGCUGAAUGAAGGAGGAGAGCAGGAGGAGAUGAAUUUUAAAAAGGACUCCCGCGAAGACCUUGGACCCGCCGGAUAAUCCAGGCUCAUCUUAAGAUCAGUCGAAGUCCCCCGAUGGCAUCGCAGCACAACGUAUUCAGUUGGUGGGGAGAAGGCCUUGGACGUCUUUGGGGAGCUAGACUUCAUUCUCCCGUCUGCCUCAAAGUGUGAACCUCUUGUCAGCCCGUCCAAAUUAAAGCCUCCUUCAGACCGGGCCUUGGCCUCUGAGGCUCCGAGUUCCGGGAGGGGGGGGCAGCAUUGAUAACACUGCAGAUCGGGACUGUGCCCAGCUCCAAGCAGGAAAGCAGCAGGGACCGUGAAAGGGGGUGCCCGGCGGGUUGACGCAGAGCAGGUGCCAGGAAGGCCCUGUGGCUGGAGAAAGACUGUGCCCGGGGGGUGUGGCGUAAGAUGGCGUCAGAGAGAACACAGGGUGUCUGUGAGCCACGGGCCCCCCAAGCUGCCCCUCUUGGAGCACUGGGUUCCAGAAGGCCUCUGGAAACCGGAGAAGGCAACCACCAGAUCCUCCCUAGAGCCUCCAAGGAACAGACGCCAGCUGACACUGUGACUUGAAGCCCAAUGCGACCCACUCUGGACUUCUGACCUCCAGUAGCUUCAGCUCUAGCAGCUGGUCCAGCUGCUUCCCACAGGCUCCAGUAUGGAUGGUGGUGAGGGAAGGGCAGAACGCGGGUGGCCAGGCCCUGCGGGGCCAUCUCGGCUGUGCGGGUACUGAGCUAAAGAGCUUGGCCUGGAAGUGGAGAGAAGCGGCGAGUGUGAGAUGUAUUUAGGAGAACGAGUCCACAGGGCUUGCUAAAGGGGUUGUUGUUGGGGGGCGGGGGGGGAAGAACCAGAGAGACUCCCAGGUUCCUGGAGCGGAAGCAAGGAUGGGGUGGGUCCUGAGAUGGUGGUGGCCAGGGAUUCCGACACCAGGACCCUUGCUUGGCCAGCCUUCCCCUUUCCUGCCCUAACUGACAGCCCUCCUGGUCCCUCCUCAUGCUGUGGAAGCUGACCUCUCGCUGGCAUCUCCCAAAGUAGAACGGUCGAAAUCCUACAGGGACUGAGAGCCAAAGGAUGGAGAGAAAGACAAACUCCUGGGACAAAGGAACAAAAAUGCAGGCGAUGGGACUCCUGCUGGCUCCCCUUCUUUUCCCUUCCCUUCCCUUCCCUCCCCUCCCCUCCCCUCCCCCCCUCCCCUCCCCUUUCCCUUCCCUUCCCCUCUUCCUUCCUUU